rnacentral:lncRNA from 10 species
GGGUGAUUCUUUUGGACUAAUUCAUGUGGCUGCAAUUGGAGCUGGAUGAUCUAAAUGGUCUCACUCCUAGGUCUGGCUGUUGAUGUUGGCUGUUGGCUGAGCCAGGGGCCGCCAGCAGGCUAGCAUGGGCUCUUCACUCAGCAGCAGGGUUCCCCAAGAGGACAAGCCCAACACACAUGUGCUUUUCAAGCCUGUGAUUAUCAGGCUUGAAAUACUGCAACAUCUGCUGCAAUCAGUAACAACCACAUAAGAAAGCAAUGACAAGUUAUGAUUACUGCUCUGGAGGGAGUGAGCAGGAUGCUGUGAGAGAGGGUUACUAUUCCAAGUGGCACCUGGGCCAGCAGCAUUGGCAUCACCUGGGACUUGUGAGAAAUCCAGCAUCUCAGGCUCCACUGCAGGUCUCCUAAAUCAGAAUCUACAGUUUAACAAGAUCCCCAGCAGAUGUGUGUGUAAGGUUUAUAGAGAGAAGAUUCAAGCCUCAACAGGCCAGCUCAAGAACCUGUUGAGAGGAGCACCUAGCAUAAGACCUGGCUUGUGACAGCUGCUCGUGGCAUGCCCUUCUCCACUAAGCCAACUUGUUAAACCUCUUCACGGCUGAGAUCAUGCUGCUUUCUUCUUCAGAUCUGCCACCCUCUAGCUGGGUGACUUUUAGACAAGUGAUCGACCUCUCUGAGCCAGAGUUUCUACCUUGUAAAAAAAAAAAAAUCCCUUCCUGCAUGGUCAGCUGUCAUGAAAAGGACACAUGGUGAUGGGCAGACAAAGACAAGGCUUAGCUUCGUGUUUGACUCCUAGGAGCGCCCAGUUCAUGGAGGCUGCUGCUGUCACUAAUCUGUUUCCAUCUUCCCCUGGGAAUCCUGAGGUUUAUCUGUGAGCCUUUGGACUGCUGUAUGGACAACAUACUCUGCAGUAGCAUGAAGAAGUGAGUGAAGACCCUCCCUUGAACCGUUUGCCCUGAAAGAACAGAAGUCACAUCUUGAUAUCUCAGUGCCUUUACAGUGCCAGGGAUGGGGUAGGUGCUGAGCGCCUGGUAUGUGCUCACCCUAUGCUGUACAACACACAGAAAGCCCCACAGGGUUUGAACUGUAAUUAGGUAGAGGGUGUGUGGGACUCGCCUUGGGUCUCU